rnacentral:rRNA from 1 species
UACGAAGGGGGCUAGCGUUGCUCGGAAUCACUGGGCGUAAAGGGUGCGUAGGCGGGUCGUUAAGUCCGGGGUGAAAUCCUGGAGCUCAACUCCAGAACUGCCUUUGAUACUGAAGAUCUUGAGUUCGGGAGAGGUGAGUGGAACUGCGAGUGUAGAGGUGAAAUUCGUAGAUAUUCGCAAGAACACCAGUGGCGAAGGCGGCUCACUGGCCCGAUACUGACGCUGAGGCACGAAAGCGUGGGGAGCAAACAGG